rnacentral:rRNA from 1 species
UGCCAGACUCCUACGGGAGGCAGCAGUGGGGAAUAUUGGGCAAUGGACGCAAGUCUGACCCAGCAACGCCGCGUGAAGGAAGAAGGCUUUCGGGUUGUAAACUUCUUUUAAGGGGGAAGAGUAGAAGACGGUACCCCUUGAAUAAGCCACGGCUAACUACGUGCCAGCAGCCGCGGUAAUACGUAGGGAGCAAGCGUUGUCCGGAAUUACUGGGUGUAAAGGGAGCGUAGGCGGGGAUGCAAGUUGGGUGUCAAAACUACCGGCUCAACCGAUAGUCGCACUCAAAACUGCAACUCUUGAGUGAAGUAGAGGCAGGCGGAAUUCCUAGUGUAGCGGUGAAAUGCGUAGAUAUUAGGAGGAACACCAGUGGCGAAGGCGGCCUGCUGGGCUUUUACUGACGCUGAGGCUCGAAAGUGUGGGGAGCAAACAGGAUUAGAUACCCGUGUA